rnacentral:misc_RNA from 1 species
AAGACUAUAGACCUGCGGAGUACCUGCGGAGGGAUCAUUACAGAGUUAUCAAACUCCUAAACCCUUUGUUAAUUUACCUAUUUGUUUCUUCGGCAGGUGGUCCCUGGGAGGGUCCUGCAGCCUGUUAAGGUACCUGCCGAAGGUCAUAACUCGGUUUUACAUUAUGUGUCUAAGUCUUACUAUAAAAUAAGUCAAAACUUUCAGCAAUGGAUCUCU